CUCCCACUUGCCUCCGGCUCCCGGAAGCGGGCGGGGCCACCUCGCGUCCCGGGGGCUAAAACCUGCGAGCGAGGACCGCGCGCCGAGGCUCCUUAGCCGCGCGCCGAGCGGUUGAUCGCCGUAGCUCCCGCAGCCUGCGCUCCCCACUCUGUGGCUCCAUCCGCCAUUGUAGGCCAAUAAUCCGUUAUGGAGCAUGCCUUUACCCCGUUGGAGCCCCUGCUUUCCACUGGGAAUUUGAAGUACUGCCUUGUAAUUCUUAAUCAGCCUUUGGACAACUAUUUUCGUCAUCUUUGGAACAAAGCUCUUUUAAGAGCCUGUGCUGAUGGAGGUGCCAACCGCUUAUAUGAUAUCACCGAAGGAGAGAGAGAAAGCUUUUUGCCUGAAUUCAUCAAUGGAGACUUUGAUUCUAUUAGGCCUGAAGUCAGAGAAUACUACGCUACUAAGAACACAGGUGUCAUGAAGGCUACCUCUAAAGCCAAAAUGAGAAAGGAAAAGACUUAUGUCAGCAUUAUCGUCAUUGGACACGUAGAUUCGGGCAAGUCCACCAUUACUGGCCAUCUGAUCUACAAAUGCAGUGGCAUCGACGAAAGAACCAUUGAAAAAUUUGAGAAGGAGGCUGCUGAGACGGGAAAGGGCUCUUUCAAGUAUGCCUGGGUCUUGGAUAAACUGAAGGCUGAGCAUGAACGUCAUAUCACCAUUGAUAUCUCCUUGUGGAAAGUUGAGACCAGCAAUACUACGUGACGAUCAUUGAUGCCCCAGGACACAGAGACUUCAUCAACAACAUGAUUACAGGGACAUCUCAGGCUGACCGUGCUGUCCUGAUUGUUGCGGCUGGUGUUGGUGAAUUUGAAGUUGGUAUCUCCCAGAAUGGGCAGACCCGAGAGCAUGCCCUUCUGGCUUACACACUGGGGGUGACACAACUCAUUGUUGGUAUUAACAAAAUGGAUUGCACUGAGCCACCCCACAGCCAGAAGAGAUACGAGGAAAUCGUUAAGGAAGUCAGCACUUACAUUAAGAAAACUGGCUACAACUCUGACACAGUAGGAUUUGUGCCCAAUUCUAGUUGGAAUGGUGACAAUGGGCUGGAGCCAAGUGCUAACAUGACUUGGUUCAAGGGAUGGAAAGUCAUCGGUAAGGAUGGCAAUGCCAGUGGAACCACACUGCUUGAGGUCGUGGAUCACAUCCUGCCACCACCUCGUCCAACUGACAAGCCCCUUCACCUGCCCCUCCAGGAUGUCUACAAAAUUGAUGGUAUUAGUACUGUUCCUGUUGGCCGAGUGGAAACUGAUGUUCUCAAACCUAGUAUGGUGGUCACCUUUGCUCCAGUCAAUGUUAAAACUGAAGUAAAAUCUGUCAAAAUGUACCAUGAAGCUUUGAGUGAAGCUCUUCUGGGGACAAUAUCAAGAAUGUCAAGAAUGUGUGUGUCAAGGAUGUUCGUGUGGCAACGUUGCUGGUGACAGCAAAAAUGACCCACCAAUGGAAGCAGCUGGCUUCAUUAGUCUGGUGAUUAUCCAGAACCAUCCAGGCCAAAUCAGUGCUGGCUAUGCCCCUGUACUGGAUUGCCACACGGCUCACAUUGCAUGCAAGUUUGCUGAGCUGAAGGAAAAGAUUGGUCGCUGUUCUGGUAAAAAGCUGGGAGAUGGCCCUAAAUUCUUGAAGUCUGGUGAUGCUGCCAUUGUUGAUAUGGUUCCUGGCAAGCCCAUGUGUGUUGAGAGCUUCUCAGACUAUCCACCUCUGGGUUGCUUUGCCGUUCGUGCUAUGAGACAGAUAGUUGCUGUGAGUGUCAUCAAAGCAGUGGACAAGAAGGCUGCAAGGUCACCAAGUCUCCCCAGAAAGCUCAGAAGGCUAAAUGAGUAUUAUCCCUAAUACCUCCCACCCAGCUCUUAAUCAGUGGUGGAAGAAUGGUCUCAGAACUGUUUCAAUUGGCCAUUUAAGUGUAGUAGUAAAAGACUGGUUAAUGAUAACAAUGCAUCAUAAAACCUACAGAAGGAAAGGAGAAUGUUUUGUGGACCACGUUGGUUUUCUUUUUUGUGUGUGACAGUUUUAAGUUACUAGUUUUUAAAAUCAGUACUUUUUAAUGGAAACAACUUGACCAAAAAUUUGUCGCAGAAUUUUGAGGCCCAUUAAAAAAGUUUAAUGAGGAAAAAAAAU